GAUGAACGCUAGCGGGAGGCCUAAUACAUGCAAGUCGAACGGUAAGGUCCCUUCGGGGAUACACGAGUGGCGGACGGGUGCGUAACGCGUACGAAACAUACCUUCAACAGGGAGGAUACCUCCGGGAAACUGGAAAUAAUACCCCAUAGUAUUGAGAUAUCGCAUGAUAGUUUCAAUUAAAGCUUUGGCGGUUGAAGAUUGUCGUGCGUCUGAUUAGCUAGUUGGUGAGGUAACGGCUCACCAAGGCGACGAUCAGUAGCUGGUCUGGAGAGGAUGAUCAGCCACACUGGAACUGAGACACGGUCCAGACUCCUACGGGAGGCAGCAGUAGGG
rnacentral:rRNA from 1 species